rnacentral:rRNA from 1 species
AUUGAACGCUGGCGGCAUGCCUUACACAUGCAAGUCGAACGGUAACGGGUCCUUCGGGAUGCCGACGAGUGGCGAACGGGUGAGUAAUAUAUCGGAACGUGCCCAGUAGUGGGGGAUAACUGCUCGAAAGAGCAGCUAAUACCGCAUACGACCUGAGGGUGAAAGGGGGGGAUCGCAAGACCUCUCGCUAUUGGAGCGGCCGAUAUCAGAUUAGCUAGUUGGUGGGGUAAAGGCCUACCAAGGCAACGAUCUGUAGUUGGUCUGAGAGGACGACCAGCCACACUGGGACUGAGACACGGCCCAGACUCCUACGGGAGGCAGCAGUGGGGAAUUUUGGACAAUGGGCGCAAGCCUGAUCCAGCAAUGCCGCGUGCAGGAAGAAGGCCUUCGGGUUGUAAACUGCUUUUGUCAGGGAAGAAAUCUUCUGGGCUAAUACCCCGGGAGGAUGACGGUACCUGAAGAAUAAGCACCGGCUAACUACGUGCCAGCAGCCGCGGUAAUACGUAGGGUGCGAGCGUUAAUCGGAAUUACUGGGCGUAAAGCGUGCGCAGGCGGCUUUGCAAGACAGAUGUGAAAUCCCCGGGCUCAACCUGGGAGCUGCAUUUGUGACUGCAAGGCUAGAGUACGGCAGAGGGGGAUGGAAUUCCGCGUGUAGCAGUGAAAUGCGUAGAUAUGCGGAGGAACACCAAUGGCGAAGGCAAUCCCCUGGGCCUGUACUGACGCUCAUGCACGAAAGCGUGGGGAGCAAACAGGAUUAGAUACCCUGGUAGUCCACGCCCUAAACGAUGUCAACUGGUUGUUGGACGGCUUGCUGUUCAGUAACGAAGCUAACGCGUGAAGUUGACCGCCUGGGGAGUACGGCCGCAAGGUUAAAACUCAAAGGAAUUGACGGGGACCCGCACAAGCGGUGGAUGAUGUGGUUUAAUUCGAUGCAACGCGAAAAACCUUACCUACCCUUGACAUGUCAAGAAUUCUGCAGAGAUGUGGAAGUGCUCGAAAGAGAACUUGAACACAGGUGCUGCAUGGCCGUCGUCAGCUCGUGUCGUGAGAUGUUGGGUUAAGUCCCGCAACGAGCGCAACCCUUGUCAUUAGUUGCUACGCAAGGGCACUCUAAUGAGACUGCCGGUGACAAACCGGAGGAAGGUGGGGAUGACGUCAGGUCCUCAUGGCCCUUAUGGGUAGGGCUACACACGUCAUACAAUGGCCGGUACAGAGGGCUGCCAACCCGCGAGGGGGAGCCAAUCCCAGAAAACCGGUCGUAGUCCGGAUCGUAGUCUGCAACUCGACUGCGUGAAGUCGGAAUCGCCAGUAAUCGCGGAUCAGCUUGCCGCGGUGAAUACGUUCCCGGGUCU